rnacentral:rRNA from 1 species
UGAACGCUGGCGGCGUGCUUAACACAUGCAAGUCGCACGAGAAAGCUUUGGCUUGCCAAAGCAAGUAAAGUGGCGCACGGGUGAGUAAUGCGUAGGUAAUCUACCUCUGAAUUUGGGAUAACCCUUCGAAAGGGGGGCUAAUACCGGAUGAAGUCAAGAAUUUUUCGGAAUAUUUGAUGAAAGGUGGCCUCUAUAUAUAAGCUACUGUUUGGAGAUGAGCCUGCGUACCAUUAGCUAGUUGGCAGGGUAACGGCCUACCAAGGCGACGAUGGUUAGCUGGUCUGAGAGGAUGAUCAGCCACACCGGAACUGGAACACGGUCCGGACUCCUACGGGAGGCAGCAGUGAGGAAUUUUGCGCAAUGGGGGAAACCCUGACGCAGCAACGCCGCGUGAGUGAUGAAGGCUUUCGGGUCGUAAAGCUCUGUCAAGUGGGAAGAACCCGCACUCAGGUAAUAUUUGGGUGCGCUGACGGUACCACUGAAGGAAGCACCGGCUAACUCC